UGGGGAAUAUUGGACAAUGGGGGCAACCCUGAUCCAGCGACGCCGCGUGUGUGAAGAAGGCCUGCGGGUUGUAAAGCACUUUUAGUGGGGAUGAAAAGCACAUUGCUAAUACCAGUGUGUCUUGACCUAACCCAAAGAAAAAGCACCGGCUAACUCUGUGACAGCAGCCGCGGUAAUACAGAGGGUGCGAGCGUUAAUCGGAAUUACUGGGCGUAAAGCGCGCGUAGGCGGCUUUGCAAGUCGGAUGUGAAAUCCCCAGGCUCAACCUGGGAACUGCAUUCGAGACUGCUUUGCUAGAGUAUGGGAGAGGGAAGUGGAAUUUCCGGUGUAGCGGUGAAAUGCGUAGAUAUCGGAAGGAACAUCAGUGGCGAAAGCGACUUCCUGGACCAAUACUGACGCUCAUGUGCGAAAGCGUGGGGAGCAAA
rnacentral:rRNA from 1 species